GGUUGAUCCUGCCAGUAGUCAUAUGCUUGUCUCAAAGAUUAAGCCAUGCAUGUCUAAGUAUAAGCAUUUAUACUGUGAAACUGCGAAUGGCUCAUUAAAUCAGUUAUAGUUUAUUUGAUAGUACCUUACUACUUGGAUAACCGUGGUAAUUCUAGAGCUAAUACAUGCUAAAAAACCCGACUUCUGGAAGGGUUGUAUUUAUUAGAUAAAAAACCAACCCGCGCAAGCGGUUUUCUGGUGACUCAUAGUAACUUUUCGAAUCGUAUGGCUUUACGCCGACGAUAGUUCAUUC
rnacentral:rRNA from 1 species